rnacentral:rRNA from 1 species
GAGUGCGGCGUGCUAUACAUGCAGUCGAGCGGACAGAAGGGAGCUUGCUCCCGGAUGUUACGGCGGACGGGUGAGUAACACGUGGGUAACCUGCCUGUAAGACUGGGAUAACUCCGGGAAACCGGAGCUAAUACCGGAUAGUUCCUUGAACCGCAUGGUUCAAGGAUGAAAGACGGUUUCGGCUGUCACUUACAGAUGGACCCGCGGCGCAUUAGCUAGUUGGGGGGGUAAUGGCUCACCAAGGCGACGAUGCGUAGCCGACCUGAGAGGGUGAUCGGCCACACUGGGACUGAAACACGGCCCAAACUCCUACGGGAGGCAGCAGUAGGGAAUCUUCCGCAAUGGACGAAAGUCUGACGGAGCAACGCCGCGUGAGUGAUGAAGGUUUUCGGAUCGUAAAGCUCUGUUGUUAGGGAAAAACAAGUGCGAGAGUAACUGCUCGCACCUUGACGGUACCUAACCAAAAAGCCACGGCUAACUACGUGCCAGCAGCCGCGGUAAUACGUAGGUGGCAAGCGUUGUCCGGAAUUAUUGGGCGUAAAGGGCUCGCAGGCGGUUUCUUAAGUCUGAUGUGAAAGCCCCCGGCUCACCCGGGGAGGGUCAUUGGAAACUGGGAAACUUGAGUGCAGAAGAGGAGAGUGUAAUUCCACGUGUAGCGGUGAAAUGCGUAAAGAUGUGGAGGAACACCGUGGCGAAUGCGACUCUCUGGUCUGUAGCUGACGCUGAUGAGCGAAGCGUGGGUAGCGAACAG